rnacentral:rRNA from 1 species
UACAGAGGGUGCGAGCGUUGUCCGGAAUCACUGGGCGUAAAGGGCGCGUAGGUGGUGGCUUAAGCGUGCGGUGAAAGCUCGGAGCUCAACUCCGAGUCGGCCGUGCGAACUGGGCUCACUGGAGCAUAGUAGAGGCAGGUGGAAUUCCUGGUGUAGCGGUGGAAUGCGCAGAUAUCAGGAAGAACACCCGUGGCGAAGGCGGCUCUCUGGAACGCAACUGACGCUGAGACGCGAAAGCGUGGGGAGCAAACAGG